GACAGAGGUGCCAAGCGUUAGGCGGAAUCACUGGGCUUAAAGCGUGUGUAGGCGGAUCGUUAAGUACCUUGUGAAAUCCCACGGCUCAACCGUGGAACUGCUGGGUAUACUGGCGAUCUUGAGCCACCUAGGGGCGAGCGGAACAAGCGGUGGAGCGGUGAAAUGCGUAGAUAUCGAGAGGAACACCUGCGGCGAAGGCGGGUUGCUGGGCUGACACUGACGCUGAGGCGCGAAAGCGUGGGGAGCGAACAGG
rnacentral:rRNA from 1 species